GUAGGUGAACCUGCGGAAGGAUCAUUAUCGUGGGGCUCCGGCCCCAACGAGAUAGAACCCUUGCCUUUUGAGUACCGUCCGUUUCCUCGGCAGGCCCGCCUGCCAAUGGGGACCCCCAAUAAACUCUUUAAUCACCUGUAUCAGCCUGAAAAAUAAACAAAAGUUAAAACUUUCAACAACGGAUCUCUUGGUUCUGGCAUCGAUGAAGAACGCAGCAUCUGACUGACUUGGGAUGCAUGCAUCUCGUAUG
rnacentral:misc_RNA from 1 species